rnacentral:rRNA from 1 species
UACAGAGGGUGCGAGCGUUGCCCGGAAUUACUGGGCGUAAAGGGGACGUAGGCGGUUAAUCAAGUCAGGUGUGAAAUGUCACGGCUUAACUGUGGAAUAGCGCUUGAAACUGAAUAACUUGAGGACACUAGAGGAAGACGGAAUUACCUGAGUAGGGGUGAAAUCCGUAGAUACAGGUAAGAAGGCCAGUGGUGAAGACGGUUUUCUGGGGUGAUCCUGACGCUGAGGUCCGAAAGCUAGGGUAGCAAACCGG